GAUCCCUACGGGGGGCAGCAGUCGGGAAUAUUGCACAAUGGAGGAAACUCUGAUGCAGUGACACCGCGUAUAGGAAGAAGGUUUUCGGAUUGUAAACUAUUUUAGACAGGGAAGAAAAAAGACAGUACCUGUAGAAUAAUCUCUGGCUAACUACGUGCCAGCAGCCGCGGUAAUACGUAGGGAGCAAGCGUUAUCCGGAAUUAUUGGGUGUAAAGGGUGCGUAUACGGUACAGCAAGUUAGUUGU
rnacentral:rRNA from 1 species